CUUGCCACAUGCAGAGGCAUCUACAUGCAGAAUGGUAUGAGAUGCUGUGCAGGUUUACUGAUCAUACCACCAGCUGAUUUAUUUCUCUAAUCCAGUAAUGCUUCCCAUGGUCUCUGAUAUACAUAUCUAUUGAGCAAUGCUGCCACUGUCUUGGCUGAGGAUUGAAACAUAGAUCACCAGCAAUAAAAACAUGAGCUGCUACAGGUUGAGCUAAAGAGACAAGACUCUGUAAGCUGAGGGCUGCAGCAACUUGCAUCCAGUGCAGAUUGGCAAAGAGAGAGAGAGACCUGGAACACAUGCUCACCAGUGGGUUACACUACAAGAUCAUCAUGAACUACACUGACAUUUUCAAUGAAUUGCCUGCAUUCAGCUGCUAAGAUAUUGUCAGCAAUACCUUUAAUCUGAGUCCUUCGAGCACAUCUCUUGCUCCAGAAAAGUCCCAACUGCAAGUACAGCCAUGUAUAUGUAAAAAGAAGUUCAGAAGAUAGCCAUAUAACUGUUUUCCUUAAUCAAGUUUAACUCACCAAAAAUCUUUGGCAUCUAAAUCUAAAAAGAGACUUUGGCUUUGUGAUUCUUGCUAAAAAUCUCUUCCUGGUAUAGGAACAAUUGAAACUUUGAGUUAUGAAGGAUCAAAAUGUAUGGGUUGUUUGCCUGGUUUCUUUAAACUAAUUUAGUCUUUUGAGAGAAACUCUCUUUAAAAAGAAUCCCAUUCUACAAAAUUGUAAAUCCGUAUUUCCAGGUCCUUCUUUAAAAUGAACCUUUACUUUAUUUGAUUGUUGUACUAGCUUCACCUCAGAGUUGAUUUCCAAUUUAUAUUCUCUAGGCAGACUUCUGAAGCUUUUAAAAACAACCCCGUAUUGAUCCAAUUAUUUGUUUCUUUGUUAGAGGCAUUUGGCUGGAACUGUCAAUAGCAUUGUACAUUAUAUUGUUCACCAUUUGCAAAA